rnacentral:lncRNA from 1 species
AAGGUUUUCAAUUCAACUAAGUGACUAUUCAUUUCAUUAAAUGAUGCACUAUAGUCAUCUUAUACUUAUGAAUAUAUGGUGAAACAAUUUAGUAAAGAGUCAUAAUUUAAACUUGGGACCUCAAAGUAUAAAUGAAAAUAAAAUAGAAAAUAGGAAAGGAGAUUUAAUGGAACUAUUUAUUUCUUCCAUAAAUAAAUAACAAGGAAAAGAGUAAAUAAUAAUAUUGUAAACAAUAGAUGUUAUAAUCACAUUAGUGAUUAACUUUGACACUUGGGAAUUUGAAGUUCAAAAUGGGAGUUUGAAUUUGAAUUUGAUUUGAAUGAAGAAAAGAGGAGAGAAGAAAAAUAAAAGAAUACACAUUAUAAGAUAAAAAUAUAAUAUUAUGGCGGGUAGUAAAAUCAUUAUUCAUAUUAGAUUUGUGUUUAAUAUAUAAAGUUGAAGUUCAAAUAGGAAUUUAAAUUUGAAUAGAGUCUUGAACUUGGAAAAGAAAAUAAAAUAAACAAAUAAAAAAUGAGAGAGGGAACCACGCACCUGGGCCACUUUCCUUAACUUGGCCUAGCUCGGCGGCCAUCGGGCCCAUCCCGCAACCCAGCCGCCAUUACCACAAUGGGCAAUUCUGUCUCCUCUUCUUUGAUUUUCCUAGACUCAAUGACGAUCCGCCCCCACCUGUCACGUUCAUCUCCUAACCAAUGACCAAAUCACGAUGUCUCACUCUGGUCUGUUGCCGAGCAAAUCGCUGGGUCGUUGCUAUUGAAUCCUUGCCCUUGCCUUACUAAUUAGGAAAGCUAGUGGAGGACUACCUUACCUGAAAGGGGAAAGGAUAGUAGGGGAGUUGCAUGCAAGGAGGUUCUCGGGUUGAUUUUGCUGCGAUGGCGGUCAGACGAGGGAUUCUUGCAAGUGCUCUUCCCAUAAACUGUAGCGGGUUUUCGGAAGCUAGUGGAACUUUGUAAAGGCCUUGUAGUGGAUCCCUAGCCAUUCACCUCGGUAGUGUCUAAGGGUCUAGCUAACCCUGGCGACAUGGGAUACACGACUUAUGGGUACAGGGUACAACCUCUGCAGAGUGUAAAACUGGUAUACUAGCCGAGCUCACGGCCAUGAGCAGCUCAGGACUCUCACAUGAUUAAGUUAUGUAACUUAAAUUAAAUUUGUCAUUUGCAUUUGCAUGGGAUUAUUUAUUAAUUUUGUUCUAUUAUUUAUUAUGGUUUGGUAUUUACUUACACUUAGUAACUGCUAAUAAAAUUUGACCAACUUAUUAAAAGCAAUGCUCAGCUUUAACCUCUAUUGUUGAUCAGCCUUACACAUCACAUGAACUCCCACCUUUGGUGAGUUCAUGCACAUUAUUCCCCACAACUUGUUGAGCGAUGAACAUGUGUGAGCUCACCCUUGCUGUCUCACACCCCCACAGGAGAAGAAUAGGUUGUUCAAGAGGAGCCACACAACGAUGAGUUCGAUUCGAUCUAGGUGGUGUCUCCUAGUCGACUUUAUGGUGCCAAGGAUGGACUUUAGUUCGAUCUAUGUUUAUCUGUUAUUUUAUAAGACUUCUGCUAUGUAAUAAGUACUCUGAUUAUAUUGUGACAUUUAUCUCUAUAUUAUAUGUGUUGUCUUCUUUGGCACAUAUAUGAGAUGCACCCGGCUUUGUCCCUUAAAUCCGGGUGUGACAGAAGUGGUAUCAGAGGAAUUAAUGUUGACUGUAGGAUGAAACCUAGAUAGAAAUGGACAAACCCUUACCUACUUACCUUACUCUGAUUCUUAUCUAAACUUUCCUUAACCAUUUCUCAUCUAUUUCCGCUUUACUCUGAAUAUUCUUACCUCUUCUUUCUAAAGACAAAUGUGGAUUUCAAACUUUGAAAUCCUGUGCCUAAAGUGACCUUUAGGAAUAGGAGACCUGCUCUUAGGAAUAAAAACAAAACUAUUUUUUAUAGGUAUUUAUACGCUUGAGUGUUUGUUCUUAUGAUAUUUGCCUGGUUUGGAUCUUUGAUUGAGUGUGAUUAGUUGUGGAGUAAUGUCCAUAAUUACAUCUGCAUAUACAUAUAGGAAUAAAUAGAAUUCAUCAGAUGACUAAACAACUUAGAUUAUCCUUCAUUAAAGUGGAUCUAUUUCAUAUAGAUCCCUCUUAUCAUAAAAGGCUCUAUCUUAUCUUAAUAGAUCCAUCUUAUCUUAAAAUAUUCUUUUUUACCUUAAUAGAUUCAUUUUAUCUUGAAAAGAUUUUAUCUUAUCCUAAUAGAUCUAACUAAUCUCAAAAGAUUCUAUCUUAUUCUUAGAGAUUCAUCUUGUCCUAAUAAGCAUACUUAUCCCCACCACUUCGCUUAUCUCAUAAUAGUGUAACAAACAUGAUCUAUUCCAAAAUAAAAUAAGUAGAUCCUAUUUAGUCUAAUCUGAUCAGAUCUAACCUAAUGGACAAACAUGUUAGAUAAUACUGGUAAAAUAAGAUUGGAUCCUACUCUUAUAAAUAUGUUUUAAUCUAAAUUGGAGUCUUAGUCCAACCUGGCCAUAUGCAACUACCUUAACCACCCAAUAGUUGCAUAAACCCUCUAUUUUAACCUAACAGAGAUGUCGAUCUACCAACCCUAUAUAAUCCAUUUUAUCUCAAAAGAUUCUAACAUAUCCUAAUAAUAUAUAUCCUACCCUGGUAGAUCUUUCUAACUUAAACUAGUCUAAUCUAGUUAUAUCCAAUCUAACCUAGACCCUACCUAAUCUGACAUGAUCCAAUCUAAAGGGAGUGACUUAAACAAGUCAGUUAAUAUUGGUAACAUAGAUAGACCAUAUUCCUAUAAAUGGGUCUGAAACCUUAAUUGGUGUCUUAAACCAACUCGUUCAUGAAAUCACGACCUAGCCUAUGUUAUAGGUUGCCCAACCCCAUCAUCCCAAGAGCAAAGUAAAACUCUGUUUACUCCACCUACCUGGUGUACCCGUAAUUGUUAUCCCACCUUGAUGAUGACAUCUAACACCACAACCAAUGGUCCCUAAUUCAGACCCCAAAGGAAGCUCGAUUAUGCCAUAGUACACUCAUUCUAUGUCAACGCUCACCAAAUAGCUAAAACAUGAUGUACCCUUGUUUCUAUACCACACCUGCUAAUGGCAUAAAAAGAAUUUCAGGUGUAUAAAAAAAUAUAUACUGGAAUUUCAUAAAGAUAAGGUCAGCUUGAUAUGCUUAACUAAAUGAUAUUCGUAAAUAGGAUUAUAGAAUUUAAUGUGAUCUGAAUUAAUGUGGUCUACUUAGACAGAUUAAUGGUACUUGAACCCUACUAGCCAGGUGUUAACAUAACCUAGCACAUUAGACCAACACAACCUGUAGCAUAAGAGCUAACCCAACCCAUAGAGUCAUGAUGAAUGGUAUAACCUAUCCAUCCCCACCUAACAUCAAACAAACUUUUGACCUACAUCAUGUAAUCUAUCUCAUCAUGACAGAUUCUAUCCUACCUUUGGAUAUUCACCUUAUAUGACUAGUUACCUCAAUCUGAACAUAAAACAAAGAUUAAGCCCUACUAAAGAAUCUUCAGUUCAUAAUCAGUUAUUAGCCUAUUCGUCUGCCUACCAAAUAAAUUUCCUUGCAAAAUUAUAUUACCAUAUGCUUCUAACUUCAAUGGUCAAUACUAGGAAGGGAAGAUUAUCAGGCAACAACAAACAGAAAUGAAUCCUCCAGAUCCUCCACCGGUUGGAAUCGAUCAAGUGGUUGCCACCCAAAUGAUGGUAAUACAACAAAUGGCAAACAUGGUUACCGAACUGCAAAAUCAGAUAAGACAAGAACGUGAGGAAAUACGUCAGGACUGGCUGGAGAUACGUCGAGAAAUAAGACAAGCACAGUUGGAAAGACAACAACAACAACAACGCCCACUACCUCCACCACCACCACCAGCUCCACCAAGCUACAUAUAUAUAUAUAUAUAUAUAUAUAUAUAUAUAUAUAUAUAUAUAUAUAUAUAUAUAUAUAUAUAUUACUACUAUUUGUAAGAUAUAAUGUUACAUUAGUUAGUAGUUGGUAUGAUACUAUUUUAGGAGGAAUAAUAAGGUCUAUUUGACCCCAUGUGUUGCUAAUAAAUUAUGCAUCAUGCUGAGAUUUUGUUUGUGCAUAAGUUUUGAUAUAACAUAGUUAUACACCCUUUUCUUACAAAUCUCGAGGACGAGAUUUCUAUUAACGGGGGUAGGAUUUGUAAGGCCCAAAAUUUGUAUAAGAAAAAAUAUAUAAUAAAAUAAAUAUAUGAAUAAAUAAAAUAGCAAAUUCAGAUAUCUCAAAUUAUACUUGAGUGUUGAAAAUUGAGGACUGAAUUUUGAAAACCAAGAAUUAUGUUAGAAAAGGAGUAAUAGAAAGGUUUUCAAUUCAACUAAGUGACUAUUCAUUUCAUUAAAUGAUGCACUAUAGGCAUCUUAUACUUAUGAAUAUAUGGUGAAACAUUUUAGUAAAGAGUCAUAAUUUAAACUUGGGACCUCAAAGUAUAAAUGAAAAUAAAAUAGAAAAUAGGAAAGGAGAUUUAAUGGAACUAUUUAUUUCUUCUAUAAAUAAAUAACAAGGAAAAGAGUAAAUAAUAAUAUUGUAAACAAUAGAUGUUAUAAUCACAUUAGUGAUUAACUUUGACACUUGGGAAUUUGAAGUUCAAAAUGGGAGGUUGAAUUUGAAUUUGAUUUGAAUGAAGAAAAGAGGAGAAAAAAAAGAAUACACAUUAUAAGAUAAAAAAUAUAAUAUUAUGGUGGGUAGUAAAAUCAUUAUUCAUAUUAGAUUUGUCUUUAAUAUCUGA